rnacentral:rRNA from 1 species
GACGUGAGGGGCCAGCGUUGUUCGGAAUUACUGGGUGUAAAGGGUUCGUAGGCGGUGCGGCAAGUUGGGAGUGAAAUCUCCUGGGCUUAACCCAGAGGCUGCUUCCAAAACUGCUGUGCUUGAGUGUGGGAGAGGCGCGUGGAAUUGCAGGUGUAGCGGUGAAAUGCGUAGAUAUCUGCAGGAACACCCGUGGCGAAAGCGGCGCGCUGGACCACUACUGACGCUGAGGAACGAAAGCUAGGGGAGCAAACAGG